UGAAAAUGAAAAUAUUAAAACUAAUACAGAUUUGAAUAGUAAACCAGAAACAUUUUUGGAGGUGACUUUCAAUCUGGACAAUUUUGAUAUCAGUGACUCUGAGGAAGAAUCACAAAACAGCAACAUCUUUCCCCUGGGCUCUGAGCAUUCGGUAAAGAAAAUUUCAUCUGAAGACAAAGUGUUUGCUGAAAGGAAAUUCGAGGAUAGGGAUAGCAGUCAAGAAGAUGACAAUGAACAUUUGUCCCAUUUGAUAACAAUUAAUUCUAGUCCUCCAGCAAAAUUUCCCAGUAAGAAAACUCUCUCUUCACAGAUUUGUACUGAAACUUCAAUGGAUUUUGACAGAAUUGGAAAAGGUAACGAAGCAUCUUUCCUGUUUAACCCGAAUCUUCCUGAAGUUGAAAAUGUUGAAGAAACGCCAGUGGAUACAUCAAAUUUUGAAACCUUAAGCAUAGGAACCAAAUGGGAUUCAUCCUCAAAGCAGACCAAUGAUGUAUUAAUAUAUGGUAAUGGCCGCUGUAAUGGAUCUGUUCAUCCAUCCGAUACUGAUUACGAUCAUGUAUCCUCACAAACCAAGAAACAAUUUACAGAAGCGUGUUAUUCAUCAGAUACACCAGAGCCCCUUAAUCUGUAUCAAGAUUCUACUCAACAGGUGCUGCAAGAAAACCAAGAUGAAAUUUCAGCUGUACCUAAUGGAUCAUUUGAAUCAUUGCAGUCUUCUUCCUUGAAAGAUGAAGAAGAGAAUGCUUUUGUAGCUUUCAUACCUAAGGAAAAAGAGAGGAAGUCCUGCAAACCUAAGGUACAAAUUAUGAAGAACUAUUCAAAUCACAUUGUUGUUUUCCAGA
rnacentral:lncRNA from 1 species